rnacentral:rRNA from 1 species
AGUGAACGCUGGCGGCAGGCCUAACACAUGCAAGUCGAACGGAAGCACAGUAAGAUCUUGCUCUUACGGGUGGCGAGUGGCGGACGGGUGAGGAAUACAUCGGAAUCUACUUUUUCGUGGGGGAUAACGUAGGGAAACUUACGCUAAUACCGCAUACGACCUACGGGUGAAAGCAGGGGAUCUUCGCACCUUGCGCGAUUGAAUGAGCCGAUGUCGGACUAGCUAGUUGGCGGGGUAAAGGCCCACCAAGGCAAGGAUCCGUAGCGGGUCUGAGAGGAUGAUCAGCCACACUGGAACUGAGACACGGUCCAGACUCCUACGGGAGGCAGCAGUGGGGAAUAUUGGACAAUGGGCGCAAGCCUGAUCCAGCCAUACCGCGUGGGUGAAGAAGGCCUUCGGGUUGUAAAGCCCUUUUGUUGGGAAAGAAAAGCAGCAGGUUAAUACCCCGCUGUUCUGACGGUACCCAAAGAAUAAGCACCGGCUAACUUCGUG